rnacentral:rRNA from 1 species
AUUGAACGCUGGCGGCAUGCCUUACACAUGCAAGUCGAACGGUAACAGGUCUUCGGAUGCUGACGAGUGGCGAACGGGUGAGUAAUACAUCGGAACGUGCCCAGCCGUUGGGGAUAACGAGGCGAAAGCUUUGCUAAUACCGCAUACGAUCUAAGGAUGAAAGCAGGGGACCGCAAGGCCUUGCGCGUUUGGAGCGGCCGAUGGCAGAUUAGGUAGUUGGUGGGAUAAAAGCUUACCAAGCCGACGAUCUGUAGCUGGUCUGAGAGGACGACCAGCCACACUGGGACUGAGACACGGCCCAGACUCCUACGGGAGGCAGCAGUGGGGAAUUUUGGACAAUGGGCGAAAGCCUGAUCCAGCAAUGCCGCGUGCAGGAUGAAGGCGUUCGGGUUGUAAACUGCUUUUGUACGGAACGAAAAGGCUCUGGCUAAUACCUGGGGCACAUGACGGUACCGGAAGAAUAAGCACCGGCUAACUACGUG